rnacentral:rRNA from 1 species
UACGUAGGGUGCAAGCGUUGUCCGGAAUUAUUGGGCGUAAAGAGCUCGUAGGCGGCCUGUUGCGUCCGCUGUGAAAGCCCGGGGCUUAACCCCGGGUCUGCAGUGGAUACGGGCAGGCUAGAGUGCGGUAGGGGAGACUGGAAUUCCUGGUGUAGCGGUGAAAUGCGCAGAUAUCAGGAGGAACACCAAUGGCGAAGGCAGAUCUCUGGGCCGUAACUGACGCUGAGGAGCGAAAGCAUGGGGAGCGAACAGG